GACGAACGCUGGCGGCGUGCUUAACACAUGCAAGUCGAACGAAGUGGCGAACGGGUGUGUAAUACGUGAGUAACCUUCCCCCCUUGUUGGGAUUAGCCUUUGAAACGGGGUCUAAUACCCGCAAAUGGGGGCUGGGCUCGGGGCCUGUCCGCGUGUUGGGGGGGUGAUGGCCCACCAAGGCGGUGACGGGUCGCCGGCCUGAGAAGGUGAACGGGCACUUUGAGACGGCCAUAAGGCCUAGAGGCGUACGCGAGGGAGCAGUGGGGGAUAUUGGUCAAAGGGCGAAAUCCUCAUGCAGCGUCUCUGCGUGGGGGAUGAAGGCUGUAGGGUUGUAAUCCUAUUUCGCUAUCGAUCGGGUAGCUGGAGAAGAAGCGCCGGCUAACUACGUGCCAGCAGCCGCGGUAAUAC
rnacentral:rRNA from 1 species